GAUGAACGCUGGCGGCGUGCCUAAUACAUGCAAGUCGAGCGAACGGACGAGAAGCUUGCUUCUCUGACGUUAGCGGCGGACGGGUGAGUAACACGUGGAUAACCUACCUAUAAGACUGGGAUAACUUCGGGAAACCGGAGCUAAUACCGGAUAAUAUUUUGAACCGCAUGGUUCAAUAGUGAAAGACGGUCUUGCUGUCACUUAUAGAUGGAUCCGCGCUGCAUUAGCUAGUUGGUAAGGUAACGGCUUACCAAGGCUACGAUGCGUAGCCGACCUGAGAGGGUGAUCGGCCACACUGGAACUGAGACACGGUCCAGACUCCUACGGGAGGCAGCAGUAGGGAAUCUUCCGCAAUGGGCGAAAGCCUGACGGAGCAACGCCGCGUGAGUGAUGAAGGUCUUCGGAUCGUAAAACUCUGUUAUUAGGGAAGAACAGAUGUGUAAGUAACUGUGCACGUCUUGACGGUACCUAAUCAGAAAGCCACGGCUAACUACGUG
rnacentral:rRNA from 1 species